UAUGUGUCUAAGGCUGCUCGCGGCGGGCGGCGGGCGGCCCCGUCUUGGCCGUGUCCUUGCCCGUUGGGUACUCGGCGUCCCCUCCAGGGCCGGGGCCAGCGGCCGCGGAGUCACCGAGUGGGCCGUGGGCACUCCGCUUGGCGGGCGUGCUGGGGGCCUGGGCCGCCUGCCCGUUCUUCUCGUCUGAAAAAAGUUGUUUAAUUACGUCAAAGAAGUUACUCAAUGGGCUGCCUGGGUACACAGAACAGAAGACAAAAGAGAAAAAAGAAAAAAGAAAAAAAAAAGAGAAAGAGGAAGGGGGGUAAGGAGAGAGAAAGAGAACAAACAAACAAAUGAACGAAAGGGUCUCCACGAGAGAAAGAAAACCCAACGAGAUGAGGUCUGAGCCGGGCGUGGCAGGUGGGGGGGGGGGGGGGGGGGGGGGGCAAAGGGGGGGGGGGGGGCAAGCAGGUGGAGAGACCCCUCCUCCCUCACCGCGCCUGGCCCUGAGGCCCUGGCCCCCCUUGCACCUCAGCCGCCCCAUGGCCUGGCCACCCGGCCAGCCCCACUCUGGAGACCGAGGCAGAAAAGCCACCACUGCCACAAGCCCCAGGGCUGAGCAGGACCCUGGGGCCCCCGGCUGCCUCCUCGCACGGGACCAGGGAGCCUUCUCUGGGCUGGGGAGGCUGGAGCCAGCGUGCCCGCCACGCUCCUCCCGGGAGGCUUGGAGCCCGGCCCCCGGCCAGCCCAGGCAGCACCGCAUGGACACAGAGGUCAGCAGCAGACACACAGAUGGACGGAUGGGUGAACAGGCAUGGAGAGCUUGGGUAUGGGAGGGCCGGGGGCAGGCAGCCAGAGUGGGGGCCCUGAUCCCAGAGGAAGAAGGCAGAGAUGGUUUGACCACCCCCACCUGGGGGCCUUGUCCUACUGUCCAGGUGCCUCCGCUCUACCUCUCAAACCUGACUCCCCCAGCCCGGAGCAGUGGGCAGGGGAGUGCGUGCACAGCACCCUCCCCCACCCCACCCUUCAGUGGACAGAAAGCUUUUACAGCAGCCUCCUGCCCAAGGUCUGGAGUCCACCCAGACCCCAGACCAGAGCCCAC
rnacentral:lncRNA from 1 species